UACGUAGGGGGCAAGCGUUGUCCGGAAUCAUUGGGCGUAAAGAGCGUGUAGGCGGUUCGGUAAGUCGGCUGUGAAAGUCCAGGGCUCAACCCUGGGAUGCCGGUCGAUACUGCCGGACUAGAGUUCGGAAGAGGCGAGUGGAAUUCCCGGUGUAGCGGUGAAAUGCGCAGAUAUCAGGAAGAACACCCGUGGCGAAAGCGGCUCUCUGGAACGGUACUGACGCUGAGACGCGAAAGCGUGGGGAGCGAACAGG
rnacentral:rRNA from 1 species